rnacentral:rRNA from 1 species
GAUGAACGCUGGCGGCGUGCCUAAUACAUGCAAGUCGAACGAAACUUCUUUAUCACCGAGUGCUUGCACUCACCGAUAAAGAGUUGAGUGGCGAACGGGUGAGUAACACGUGGGCAACCUGCCCAAAAGAGGGGGAUAACACUUGGAAACAGGUGCUAAUACCGCAUAACCAUAGUUACCGCAUGGUAACUAUGUAAAAGGUGGCUAUACUACCGCUUUUGGAUGGGCCCGCGGCGCAUUAGCUAGUUGGUAGGGUAAAGGCUUACCAAGGCAAUGAUGCGUAGCCGAAUUGAGAGGUUGAUCGGCCACAUUGGGACUGAGACACGGCCCAAACUCCUACGGGAGGCAGCAGUAGGGAAUCUUCCACAAUGGGCGAAAGCCUGAUGGAGCAACGCCGCGUGGGUGAAGAAGGUCCUCGGAUCGUAAAACCCUGUUGUUAGAGAAGAAAGUGCGUGAGAGUAACUGUUCACGUUUCGACGGUAUCUAACCAGAAAGCCACGGCUAACUACGUG